rnacentral:rRNA from 1 species
UGGGAACCUGCCUUUAGGUCCGGAAUAACUCCUCGAAAGGGGCGCUAAUACCGGAUAAUGUCUUCGGACCAAAGAUUUAUUGCCUUUAGAUGGGCCCGCGUUGGAUUAGCUUGUUGGUGGGGUAAAGGCCUACCAAGGCGACGAUCCAUAGCUGGUCUUAGAGGAUGAUCAGCCACACUGGGACUGAGACACGGCCCAGACUCCUACGGGAGGCAG